rnacentral:rRNA from 1 species
CACGUAGGGUGCGAGCGUUGUCCGGAAUUAUUGGGCGUAAAGAGCUCGUAGGCGGCUUGUCGCGUCGUUCGUGAAAACCCGGGGCUCAACUCCGGGCUUGCGGGCGAUACGGGCAGGCUAGAGUUCGGUAGGGGAGACUGGAAUUCCUGGUGUAGCGGUGAAAUGCGCAGAUAUCAGGAGGAACACCGGUGGCGAAGGCGGGUCUCUGGGCCGUAACUGACGCUGAGGAGCGAAAGCGUGGGGAGCGAACAGG